rnacentral:rRNA from 1 species
CCUACGGGCGGCAGCAGUGGGGAAUAUUGCACAAUGGGGGAAACCCUGAUGCAGCGACGCCGCGUGAGUGAAGAAGUAAUUCGUUAUGUAAAGCUCUAUCAGCAGGGAAGAAAAUGACGGAACCUGAGUAAGAAACCCCGGCUAACUACGUGCCAGCAGCCGCGGUAAUACGUAGGGGGCAAGCGGUAUCCGGAUUUACUGGGUGGAAAGGGAGCGUAGACGGCAGUGCAAGUCUGGAGUGAAAGGCGGGGGCUCAACCCCCGGACUGCUCUGGAAACUGUACGGCUGGAGUGCAGGAGAGGUAAGUGGAAUUCCUAGUGUAGCGGUGAAAUGCGUAGAUAUUAGGAGGAACACCAGUGGCGAAGGCGGCUUACUGGACUGUAACUGACGUUGAGGCUCGAAAGCGUGGGGAGCAAACAGGAUUAGAUACCCUUGUAGUC